UACGUAGGGUGCAAGCGUUGUCCGGAAUUAUUGGGCGUAAAGAGCUCGUAGGCGGUUUGUCGCGUCUGCUGUGAAAACGCGAGGCUCAACCUCGCGCCUGCAGUGGGUACGGGCAGACUAGAGUGCGGUAGGGGAGAUUGGAAUUCCUGGUGUAGCGGUGGAAUGCGCAGAUAUCAGGAGGAACACCGAUGGCGAAGGCAGAUCUCUGGGCCGUAACUGACGCUGAGAAGCGAAAGCAUGGGGAGCGAACAGG
rnacentral:rRNA from 1 species